UUCCAGGGAGGCCUCCGUGUAGGCCUCAGUAAAGCCUGAAUUCGAGUAGGCUGGCAAGCCCCAGGAAGAAGGCUGGCAGUCAGAGUGGCCACUACAGCUCUCUGCAGCAGACCCUCUUCCCAGGCCAGACAGCUCAGCCUUUGCCAGAAGUGGAACUGAGGCUGAGAGAGGAUGGCUUGCUGAAGGCUACCCAAUCAAUUUAUGGCACAGGUAGAACUCACCCAUAAGAUGUAAGAAGAAGCAACUUCUGAAAGCUUUCCAUCAAGAAAGGGAAACCAAUCUUGUCCUAUGAGUGAGAUGGAGUGGGUAUCAGAGAUAAUUUCCCUCAAGCCAGGACUGUUAAAACCACCAGUUCACAUGAGGUAUCUUGUCAGUCACCACAGAAACCUCUGUCACCAUUUUCAAGGAACCAACAGCACCAAUUUCAGAACAGAAACAUGAUAGUUUUGCCUUGGCUGAAUGACAACGUUUUUUCACAAUUAAGUUAUGUUGGAAGAUGCAUUUAUUACAAGUCAAGAACUCAUAUUCUUGAGAUUAAAAAAACAAUGAUUCGGAACAAAGAAAAUGGUCUCCAUUUCUCAUGCACAUUUAGCUCACAGCAUUUCCUUUCUUCUUGCAAGAAAUCAACAGAGAGGCAAAACUCUAGUCAGCUUAAAGAGCUUUGAGGCUCUCUCUGCAAACAGAACAAUAAGAACUUUUCCUCCCUUGCAUGCAGUAUAGGUGCUCUUUGGAUAUCUGGUGUUAUGUUCUGCAUAUAAUGGUAAAUCAUACGGAGAGGGCAUGACCUCAGAAAUCCCCAAGAGACUGUGUGUGAAACCCAUGCUUAUCAUUUUAAUCCUAAAAAUAAGCUCUUAUUGGGUAAGCUGAGACAAAGAGCACAUAGGUGGGGGGAGGGAUAACCUAUCUGCUUUGUUCACCUGUGCUUUAAUUCAAAAAAUUAAGGGCUUAGUUUUACAAGUUCAGCUUCUUAUUUUGUUGACUCUCUGGAGUGUUGCCACGCAGCCCUUGAAUAUGCUAUUGAAAUUGCUUGUGCUCUGUUUAUACUGGUUGUACUGUAUACUUUACAGUCUGUUAUUGUCACUGUGACAAAGAUUGUGAAGAGUAAUGAAUAUCAUUAUUUUCUGAUGUCUCAGAUAAUCAAAGUCUCUAUUGGAAUGACCUGGAGUGAACAAUACCUACCUACACCAAUAACUGUUUGUCUCACUACCAGCAUGAGAUGAGGAAGUUCUGCCUCUUGGUCUUAUUAAUAAGGCAGGGAGAUGAUGCUAUCUCCUAGAUAGUGUGGUUGGUUUAUAACACCAUAAGUCUCUGAAGGGAAUAAAAAUUCAUAAGAAGGGCUGGCUUUUGUUCACAUCUCUGGGUUACUGGGAAUUAUUUUUAGAGAUGAAGGAGGAGAAAUGGAACUGGGGUAAUCCUUAAGGGCUUGUGCCAGUUCACUCUCUAUUUAGCAGCUGCAGAUAAACUUGUUCUCCUACUUCAGUUCUUUCAGUGCAGUUGGAAAUACUGGCUCAGAAAUAUUAAGCUAGUCAACACAUUGGGAUUUUUCAGAGUGA